CAAGUUAUUAAUUCCUGCUCUACUUUUAUAGUUACUCUUCUUUCAGUAAUUUGGGUUCCCCUUUCUCCUUACUUAACAGACCUACAAUCUUAAAAGCAAACCCAAAAGAAUUCUUCUUCACAAAAACUUUGUUGUAUGCGCUUUUGAGAAGGGGUACCGCCUUUUGAACUUAUCUACCUCUGUUGUUCGCAAACUACUCCAUGCGGGCCCCAUCGGGGAGCCUUUUAUUCUUGUGUAUGGAAAUGAGCUUAUUCUAAACAGAAAGAAUGUUUCUUACUUUGUCAACUUCUCGGGCAAUCUCACUCGAAAGAACGGGAUAUCUUGGGAUGAGGAAGUUUCUUACUUGGAAAUCAUGUCUGAAUACUGCGUCGGAGUUCUUUUGACUAGCGUAAAGAUAGUUUCAUGUGAAACUCAACUUCUCCUGCAAACUUUGGACCUCAGGGCCAUAUACUCCAUAAGUCUUUGCCGGUGGGCUAACCCUCCUCUUCUUUAUUUUGCGGCUGCUGGUUUUUUGGGCCGCGUGGAACUGAUACCAAUAGCUGAACAAAUUGAAGAGCUGGUUAAAGCUUCGAAUUUCCAAGAGGCACUUCAGUUACUUAACUCUGUCGGCAUCAAAGAUGU